rnacentral:tRNA from 1 species
GAAGUUGUAGCUCAGUGGUAGAUCAUGUGCAUAGCAAGUGCAAGGUCCUGGGUGCCAUCCCCAACACCACCA